UACAUGGGGUGCAAACGUUGCUCGGAAUCAUUGGGCGUAAAGCGCGCGUAGGCGGUUUCUUAAGUCGGAUGUGAAAGCCCUCGGCUUAACUGAGGAAGUGCAUCCGAAACUGAGCAGCUAGAGUACGAAAGAGGGUCGCGGAAUUCCCGGUGUAGAGGUGAAAUUCGUAGAUAUCGGGAGGAACACCGGUGGCGAAGGCGGCGACCUGGGUCGAGACUGACGCUGAGGCGCGAAAGCGUGGGGAGCAAACAGG
rnacentral:rRNA from 1 species